rnacentral:piRNA from 1 species
GGGUAAAGUUCACACAUGUCUGGC